AUGGCGGGCCGCCGCUCCCGCUCCCCCUCGCUCUCCUCCCCCUCCUCCCGCUCCCUCUCCUCCUUCUCCUCGGUCUCCUCCCCGUCCCGCAGCCGCUCCCCUCCCGACCGCGGCCGCCGCAGCUCGUCCGCCGCGCGGAGGGGCCGCUCGCCGCCGCCGCCGCGGGAGGGGCCCAAGGGAGGCCGCCCGACCUCGCCUUCGCCGCCGCCCAAGAAACCCUCGCCUCCCCCUCCAGCACCGAGGAAGCCCUCCCCCGCUCCGGUCCCCGACGAGUCGUCGCUCGUCCUCCUCGUCAGCCGCCUCUCCCGCAACGUCACCGAGGGCCAUCUCAGGGAGAUCUUCGAGAACUAUGGUGAAAUCGUCAAUGUGGAGCUGUCCAUGGACAAGGCGGUCAAUCUUCCUCGUGGGUACGGAUACGUUGAGUUCAAGAUGAGAGCUGAUGCCGAGAAGGCGCUUCUUUACAUGGAUGGUGCUCAAAUUGAUGGGAAUGUUGUUAAAGUGAAAUUCGCACCUGCACCGGGCCAAAAAGCUGCUGUUUCUUUGCCGAAGGCUCUUCCCAAUCCUCCGAAAAGAGAUCUGCCUGAGACUGAUACAGUUGUUCCUAAUGCUGAAAAGGCCACUCAGCAGCGACCCAGGGAAUUAUCUACUCAAAGAAAACCAGCUCUGUCUCCACAAAGGCGACCUGCUCCAAGCGGAAGGGUUGACUCACCUAGGCGGCAGCCUGAUGCACCACCAAUUCACCCUUGGAAAGAUCCUCCUCUAUUCAGGCGCGGCAGAACACCUCCUAGCCUGAGACCAGGAUAUCCAGUUCGAAGACGGUCUCCCUCUCCACCCCCUCGAAGAUUCAGAUCACCAAGGCGCUUUUCACCAAGAAGAGGUUAUGUUAGUCCAGUCCGAAGACGUUCUCCAUUCGCUCCUAGAAGGAUGACACCUCCAAUGCGGAUGAGAAGUCCUCCCAGAAGGCUGCCACCUCCUUAUCUUCGUAGUAGAUCUCCCAUUCGUCGACCAAUUCGCUCCCUUUCCAGAUCAAUUUCUCCUGUCAGGGGUCGAGCAGCUCCUGUGAGGCGUGGGCGCUCAUCCUCGUCAUAUUCUGAAUCACCAACGCCGCCAAGAAGGGGAGCCGGAAGGGUACUGAGAAGUCGCAGCCCUCAAAGGCCCUUUAGAGGGAGACGGAGAAGUGCCUCUAGCUUCAGCAAUAGUAGUGGUUCAUCCUCCCCUAUCCGCCGUUAG
rnacentral:rRNA from 1 species